rnacentral:rRNA from 1 species
AGUGAACGCUGGCGGUAGGCCUAACACAUGCAAGUCGAACGGCAGCACAGUAAGAGCUUGCUCUUACGGGUGGCGAGUGGCGGACGGGUGAGGAAUACAUCGGAAUCUACUUUUUCGUGGGGGAUAACGUAGGGAAACUUACGCUAAUACCGCAUACGACCUACGGGUGAAAGCAGGGGAUCUUCGGACCUUGCGCGAUGGAUGAGGCGGAUGUCGGAUUAGCUAGUUGGCGGGGUAAAGGCCCACCAAGGCGACGAUCCGUAGCUGGUCUGAGAGGAUGAUCAGCCACACUGGAACUGAGACACGGUCCAGACUCCUACGGGAGGCAGCAGUGGGGAAUAUUGGACAAUGGGCGCAAGCCUGAUCCAGCCAUACCGCGUGGGUGAAGAAGGCCUUCGGGUUGUAAAGCCCUUUUGUUGGGAAAGAAAAGCAGCAGGUUAAUACCCCGCUGUUCUGACGGUACCCAAAGAAUAAGCACCGGCUAACUUCGUG